CACACAGCUCAGCAACGGAGUUCAGAGUACGGCUCACCAGAGAACAGUACAUUGCAAGAAAUGCAGCUUUCCACAAAGGAAUUCACUUUGACCAUAGGCAGCCCUUUGCAAAGAGAAUGACUGACUGCAUCACCUUUGUCAGUGUGGAACAUUGGAGUCUGCACCAA